CCAGACAGAGCUUGAACAAGCAACUCUCUUACACAGAGAAGAUAUUCGAAAAAACCCGAAUUGUCUUGA
rnacentral:tRNA from 1 species